UUGAACAUUCCAGGCUCUGUGAACUAAGUGACUGAAGCUGAUUGACACAGGUCAAGGGGACUUCAAGGAAGAAAGCCAGCCUUAGACUGACAUCAGAGAACCAAACUCCGGUGUCUAAGCUCAAGGUGGGGUUCUGCCUCAGGUUUGUGAGGGAACUAGAAUGUCAUUGGACAGAUUUGGCAGGAGCCCUCAAGAGGAGGAGAGUCCUCCAAAGACUCCCCAGGUCUUUAAAUCCACUGUGUCCCAUCUCAAGUCCUUAACCCAUGGACUUUGGGGGAGUGGGUAUCUCGGAGUCUAUAACAGUAGACAAACCCUCAUCCCUCUCCACACAGGCUGCCAUAGGCUGGCUGCAUGAUUUCGCUAUUGUGAAUCACAUAGUGGUAGAAAUGCGCAGGUAUCUGAGAUAUGCUUGACUUAGCACACCCAGGACAAUAUAGCUAGAUCACGUGGCAGUUGUGUUCCUGUUUUGAGGGGCCUCCGUGGGACUGGUUCCCAUAGUGGAUGUACUAGUUUGCAUUCCCACCAGCAGGGUGUAAGGGUUCUGGCCUCCAGGUUCUCAUGAAUGUGUAUUGUUCUCUUGUUUUCUGGGUGACAGAUGUUCUGACUUGAGAUAGAAUCUCAAUGUCCUAUUGAUUUGUGUUCCCUAGUGGCUAAGGAUGUCAAACACAUUUUCACGUAUUUAUUGGUCGUUUGUUCUUCAUUUGAGAACUGUCUGUUCAGUUCAUUUGUCGGUUUAUUGAUUAGACUAUUUGUUCUUCUGGUGGAUUUAUUUGACAUUUCCUUCAAGUGGGCUGAGCGAGGAGGGAGGGUUCCUUUAGCAUUUUUCACUGAGGAUUUACAGGAGAUCUCUACUACUCAAGUAAUACUGGGAUAAGGAAACAGUUCAGACGGUCCCGGCACCAAGAUUGUUAAUGAAUUUUGAGCCAUUUUUUUUUUUAAAGUUAAAUUCCCAGAAGAAAACCAAACCAAACCAGGAAGUCCUUACUUGCUUGCUAGAAGUACUUCGCUGAUUCAUUUCUCAAC
rnacentral:lncRNA from 1 species